rnacentral:tRNA from 1 species
GGUGUUAGAGCAGGCCGGUUAAUGUGGAAGUUUGCAAAACUUUAGAGGCGGGUUCAAUUCCCGUUAACAUCU